rnacentral:rRNA from 1 species
CAAUAGCGUAUAUUAAAGUUGUUGCAGUUAGAACGCUCGUAGUCGGAUUUCGGGGCGGGCCGACCGGUCUGCCGAUGGGUAUGCACUGGUCGGCGCGUCCUUCCUUCCGGAGACCGUCCCUACUCUUAACUGAGCGGGGGCGGGAGACGGGACUUUUACUUUGAAAAAAUCAGAGUGUUUCAAGCAGGCAGCUCGCUCUUGCAUGGAUUAGCAUGGGAUAAUGAAAUAGGACCUUGGUGCUAUUUUGUUGGUUUCGAACACCGAAGUAAUGAUGAGAAGGGACAGUCAGGGGCACUCGUAUUCCGCCGAGAGAGGUGAAAUUCUCAGACCAGCGGAAGACGAACCACUGCGAAAGCAUUUGCCAGGGAUGUUUUCACUGA